rfam:Nicotiana attenuata strain TT chromosome 8, whole genome shotgun sequence.
GCGCCUGUAGUUCAGUUGAUAGAGCAUCUAUUUUCAAACUGAAGGUCGUAGGUUCGACCCUCCCUAGCGCG